AUUGAACGCUGGCGGCAGGCCUAACACAUGCAAGUCGGACGGUAGCACAGAGAGCUUGCUCUCGGGUGACGAGUGGCGGACGGGUGAGUAAUGUCUGGGGAUCUGCCCGAUAGAGGGGGAUAACCACUGGAAACGGUGGCUAAUACCGCAUAACGUCGCAAGACCAAAGAGGGGGACCUUCGGGCCUCUCACUAUCGGAUGAACCCAGAUGGGAUUAGCUAGUAGGCGGGGUAACGGCCCACCUAGGCGACGAUCCCUAGCUGGUCUGAGAGGAUGACCAGCCACACUGGAACUGAGACACGGUCCAGACUCCUACGGGAGGCAGCAGUGGGGAAUAUUGCACAAUGGGCGCAAGCCUGAUGCAGCCAUGCCGCGUGUAUGAAGAAGGCCUUCGGGUUGUAAAGUACUUUCAGCGGGGAGGAAGGCGAUGUGGUUAAUAGCCGCAUUGAUUGACGUUACCCGAAGAAUAAGCACCGGCUAACUACGUGCCAGCCGCCGCGGUAA
rnacentral:rRNA from 1 species